rnacentral:tRNA from 1 species
ACACUGGUGGCUCCAUGGUAGAAUUCUUGCCUGCCAUGGUAGAGACCCAGGUUUGAUUCCUGGCCAAUGUA